rnacentral:rRNA from 1 species
UNUCCUUNUUAACUGCAAGUGAAGCGGCAAAAGCUCAAAUUUGAAAUCUGGUACCAUUCGGUGCUCGAAUUGUAAUUUGGAAAGGCAACUUCGGAAAGGGCGUUGNCCUAAGUUCCUUGGAACAGGACGUCUUAGAGGGUGAAAAUCCCGUGNUUGGNUGACUGUCCCUCUUCAUGUGAANUUUCUUCCAAGAGUCGAGUUGUUUGGGAAUGCAGCUCAAAAUGGGAGGUAAACUCCAUCUAAGGCUAAAUAUUGGCNAGAGACCGAUAGCGCACAAGUAGAGUGAUCGAAAGAUGAAAAGCUCUUUGAAAAGAGAGUUAAAAAGUACGUGAAAUUGUUAAAAGGGAAGCGCUUGAGACCAGGCUCGNUGAUUGGUGAUCAGCGGUUGCUUUUGNGCCGUGCACUUNCCUUUUACCGGGCCAUCAUCAGUUACAGCGGGGGGAUAAACACUCAGGAAUGUGCCCCUCCUUCGGGGAGUGGUAUACCCCUGGGNGNAAUNCCCCUNUUGNGUUUGGGGCCCCCCCCCCGCUAANANNGGNCNCCAUGGUGNUUNUUUCCCC